rnacentral:tRNA from 1 species
GCCGGGGUGGCGGAAGGGCAGACGCGGAAGACUUAAAAUCUUCUAUCGGAAACGGUGUGCGGGUUCGAAUCCCGCCCCCGGCA